rnacentral:rRNA from 1 species
AUUGAACGCUGGCGGCAGGCCUAACACAUGCAAGUCGAACGAGUGGCGGACGGGUGAGUAAUGUCUGGGAAACUGCCUGAUGGAGGGGGCUAACUACUGGAAACGGUAGCUAAUACCGCAUACCAUCGGAUGUGCCCAGAUGGGAUUAGCUAGUAGGUGGGGUCACGGCUCACCUAGGCGACGAUCCCUAGCUGGUCUGAGUGGAUGACCAGCCACACGGGAACGGAUACACGGUCAAGACUCCUACGGGAGGCAGCAGUGGGGAAUAUUGCACAAUGGGCGCAAGCCUGAUGCAGCCAUGCCGCGUGUAUGAAGAAGGCCUGCGGGUUGUAAAGGACUUCCAGCGGGGAGGCGUUACCCGCAGAAGAAGCACCGGCUAACUCCGUGCCAGCAGCCGCGGUAAUUC